UAGGGAAUAUUGCACAAUGAGCGAAAGCUUGAUGCAGCAACGCCGCGUGCGCGAUGACGGCCUUCGGGUUGUAAAGCGCUUUUCGGGGAGAUGAGGAAGGACAGUAUCCCCGGAAUAAGUCUCGGCUAACUACGUGCCAGCAGCCGCGGCAACACGUAGGAGGCAAGCGUUAUCCGAAUUUACUGGGCGUAAAGCGCGUGCAGGCGGUUCGGUAAGUUGGAUGUGAAAUCUCCCGGCUCAACUGGGAGGGGACGUUCAAUACUGUCGGACUUGAGGACGAUAGAGGGAGGUGGAAUUCCCGGUGUAGUGGUGAAAUGCGUAGAUAUCGGGAGGAACACCAGUGGCGAAAGCGGCCUCCUGGAUCGGUCCUGACGCUCAGACGCGAAAGCUAGGGGAGCGAACGG
rnacentral:rRNA from 1 species